UGUUGGGCUGUUGUUCCUACGGAUGAUGUUUUGGGAACACAAUCAUAGGGAAACAGCGGUGCUGUGAUAAUACAGAAGGAAGUUUAUGUCAUACGUUUAUUUUUUUGUAUAUAAUAAUAAAAAUGGAGGAUCAAGAAAUGCAGUUAAAAGUAAAAAGAGUGACUGAUAAAUUCACAGAAAGUAUGUAUGUGUUGGCCAAUGAACCGUCUAUAGCGCUUUAUAGGCUACAAGAGCACGUCAGGAGAUCCCUGCCAGAGCUCGUGCAACAUAAGACAGACAUGCAGAGCUGGGAGGAGCAGAGUCAGGGAGCAAUCUACACUGUUGAAUAUGCAUGCAGCGCGGUUAAAAGCAUGACAAAUAGUAGCCUCUAUUUCAAGAACAUAGAUGGUCUUCUGCGCCAAGCCAUUUCAAUGAAGGAACAGAUGAGCAGCUUGCAAGGACGAAGUGAUGUGAAACCUGCAAUUAAUCCAAAUGAUACACCCACACACACUUCAGUCACACCACCUUGACUCAUGGAAAUCUUUCUUCAAGGGUUUUGUCUGUGUGUGAAACAGGCCAGAGUCUGUCGAAAGUGUCCGGUGUGUCCGUCCGCUCCCACCACCACUGUAGCCAUCCUUAUCGCUAGAGUGAACGUGAGGCCCGUUGGAUGGUUCGACGUAUGGAUUCCAAGGCUGUUUUCAGGGUCGUGGUGGUACAUGGUGUGGGUGUGUUCCCUGCGGAAGUGUUUGGCUGUAUGUGCGGCCCGUAUUAGGGAGUGAAUAACGAUAAGUAGCAGAACGAGAACACCAGAGGAGAGCACGCACACACUGGCUAUGCCGGUCUCGACUUCAAACACCAAUAACAUAUAAAUGGACAUGGCUGAAAAGAGCUUUGGAUCCUGGCAUGCUAAAGGAUGGAGGAGAAAAGCACAGCUCUGGGAUAUAAACUUGAUCACUGAUGAAGACAUGGAUGAAACUAUAUGCCACUUUCACUUGAUGCCACCAUGUCAUAUUGAUGCUACUUUAAAGUAUGGUACGCCAUUUCCGAGUUAAAAAUAAAAAAGUUAAUUCUGAGUCUAAAUACGAAACAAAGUCACACUGAAACGUAAGUUCAGUCAUAUUGUGAGAUGUAAAGUUGCAUCUGCAAGGAGAAAUAUCACAAUUGCGAAAUGUAAUCUGACAAUGUAACAAAGUUAUAUUAUGAGAUUUAAAGUCACAGUUGGGAAAUAUAAAGCUGUAAGUGCAAGAGAAAAAAAUCACAACUGUGAAAUUUAGUCACUUUGUGAGACAAAGUCACAAUUGGGAAAUAUAAAAUUGCAACUGUGGAUAAAAAUAUCACAAUUGCGAGAUUUAAUGUUGCAUCGUGGCAUAUGAAGUCACAUUUAUGAGAUAUAAAGUCACAACUGGAAGAUAUAAAAUCGCAGUUACCACUAUUUUAUUUACUCUUAGAUGGAAAUGGGCUUCCAUACCAAAGAGCCAAAAAGAAAAAGAUGACAUCUUUUUGUAUAAAAGAUGUAAGGAUUGGCGUAUAAUAUUUAUAAGCUGCUUUGGGUGUUUUGGUUGCAGUUUAUACAUAUUUUGCACCAUACAUCUACUUGUUUUAACUAUGGUCUGUAAUUGUGUAUAUUCUGAAUUGAAUAAUUAAAGUUUUUUAGUAUAAUUCA